ensembl:snoRNA
UUUUGAUGAAAUUUAAACUGAUAACAGCUGGAAUUACCGGCAGACUGUUCAGUGUUGAUCAUUAGUUUUCUGAAC